rnacentral:rRNA from 1 species
UAUCUCUGUAGAGUCUGCAUAUCAAUAAGCGGAGGAAAAGAAACUAACAAGGAUUCCCCUAGUAACGGCGAGUGAAGCGGGAAGAGCUCAAAUUUGAAAUCUUCAAGGUUUGACCUUGACGAAUUGUAGUUUAAAGAAGUGUUUUCGGUUAGAGGAGUAGUAAAAGUUCUUUGGAAUAGGACAUCAUAGAGGGUGAGAAUCCCGUAUUUGACUAUUCUUUCUAGCUUUGUGAUACACUUUCAAAGAGUCGGAUUGUUUGGGAAUGCAGUCCAAAAUGGGUGGUAAAUUUCAUCUAAAGCUAAAUAUUGGCGAGAGACCGAUAGCGAACAAGUACCGUGAGGGAAAGAUGAAAAGAACUUUGAAAAGAGAGUUAAACAGUACGUGAAAUUGUCAAAAGGGAAGCGUUUGACACCAGUGUUGUUUUUCCGAAAAUCAAUUAAAAAUUGAUUCAUGCCAGGUUGUAUUGACCUUAUCAGCUUGCAAUUUGGUUUUGGGUCUCUUUUUGAUGCACUUUUCGGUUAACAAGUCAACAUCAAUUUCCUUUGCUGUAAAAAGGUAAGAGGAAGGUGGCUUCAAUUUCGGUUGAAGUGUUUAUAGCCUUUUAUCUCUGCAGUCGGGGAGAUUGAGGUCUGCAGCGUAGAUCCUUCGGGGCUAGAUACAUUUAUGCUAAGCUAUAGCUUUUCAUAGACAACUUGUUGACUAUGUUUAGUCAUGUAGCUUACUCGUAAGUGCUAUUUUACCUACGCUUAGGAUGUUGAAGACUCUACAGAGAU